rnacentral:pre_miRNA from 12 species
UGGCCCGUUUUGGCACUAGCACAUUUUUGCUUUUCUUUCUUGCUGUCUGAGCAAUCAUGUGUGGUGCCAAUAUGGGACA